GACGAACGCUGGCGGCGUGCUUAACACAUGCAAGUCGAACGGAAAGGCCCUGCUUUUGUGGGGUGCUCGAGUGGCGAACGGGUGAGUAACACGUGAGUAACCUGCCCUUGACUUUGGGAUAACUUCAGGAAACUGGGGCUAAUACCGGAUAGGAGCUCCUGCUGCAUGGUGGGGGUUGGAAAGUUUCGGCGGUUGGGGAUGGACUCGCGGCUUAUCAGCUUGUUGGUGGGGUAGUGGCUUACCAAGGCUUUGACGGGUAGCCGGCCUGAGAGGGUGACCGGCCACAUUGGGACUGAGAUACGGCCCAGACUCCUACGGGAGGCAGCAGUGGGGAAUAUUGCACAAUGGGCGGAAGCCUGAUGCAGCAACGCCGCGUGCGGGAUGACGGCCUUCGGGUUGUAAACCGCUUUCGCCUGUGACGAAGCGUGAGUGACGGUAAUGGGUAAAGAAGCACCGGCUAACUACGUGCCAGCAGCCGCGGUGAUACGUAGGGUGCGAGCGUUGUCCGGAUUUAUUGGGCGUAAAGGGCUCGUAGGUGGUUGAUCGCGUCGGAAGUGUAAUCUCGGGGCUUAACCCUGAGCGUGCUUUCGAUACGGGUUGACUUGAGGAAGGUAGGGGAGAAUGGAAUUCCUGGUGGAGCGGUGGAAUGCGCAGAUAUCAGGAGGAACACCAGUGGCGAAGGCGGUUCUCUGGGCCUUUCCUGACGCUGAGGAGCGAAAGCGUGGGGAGCGAACAGGCUUAGAUACCCUGGUAGUCCACGCUGUAAACGGUGGGUACUAGGUGUGGGGUCCAUUCCACGGGUUCCGUGCCGUAGCUAACGCUUUAAGUACCCCGCCUGGGGAGUACGGCCGCAAGGCUAAAACUCAAAGGAAUUGACGGGGCCCCGCACAAGCGGCGGAGCAUGCGGAUUAAUUCGAUGCAACGCGUAGAACCUUACCUGGGUUUGACAUGGAUCGGGAGUGCUCAGAGAUGGGUGUGCCUCUUUUGGGGUCGGUUCACAGGUGGUGCAUGCCUGUCGUCAGCUCGUGUCGUGAGAUGUUGGGUUAAGUCCCGCAACGAGCGCAACCCUUGUUCACUGUUGCCAGCACGUUAUGGUGGGGACUCAGUGGAGACCGCCGGGGUCAACUCGGAGGAAGGUGGGGAUGACGUCAAGUCCUCAUGCCCCUUAUGUCCAGGGCUUCACGCAUGCUACAAUGGCUGGUACAGAGAGUGGCGAGCCUGUGAGGGUGAGCGAAUCUCGGAAAGCCGGUCUCAGUUCGGAUUGGGGUCUGCAACUCGACCUCAUGAAGUCGGAGUCGCUAGUAAUCGCAGAUCAGCAACGCUGCGGUGAAUACGUUCCCGGGGCC
rnacentral:rRNA from 1 species